rnacentral:rRNA from 1 species
UACAGAGGUGGCAAGCGUUGUUCGGAAUUACUGGGCGUAAAGGGCGCGUAGGCGGCCAACUAAGUCAGACGUGAAAUCCCUCGGCUUAACCGGGGGAACUGCGUCUGAUACUGGAUGGCUUGAGUUUGGGAGAGGGAUGCGGAAUUCCAGGUGUAGCGGUGAAAUGCGUAGAUAUCUGGAGGAACACCGGUGGCGAAGGCGGCAUCCUGGACCAACACUGACGCUGAGGCACGAAAGCGUGGGGAGCAAACAGG